AACUUUCAACAACGGAUCUCUUGGUUCUGGCAUCGAUGAAGAACGCAGCGAAAUGCGAUAAGUAAUGCGAAUUGCAGAAUUUCCGUGAGUCAUCGAAUCUUUGAACGCACAUUGCGCCCUUUGGUAUUCCGAAGGGCAUGCCUGUUCGAGCGUCA
rnacentral:rRNA from 1 species